CGCCCAUCGCCGACGGCGCUGCUUCUCCGCCGACCGUCGCUUCCCCUGCCGCCUACUCUGCUACUCUAUUCUCUGAUGACACGAGGUGGUAGUAGAGCUGGACGCAUAAGAGGACUUGGACGAGGUGCAUCGAUUACACCUCCGAGUUCUAACCCAUCAUCGUCUGCACCUCCGAGUUGAGAUGGAGGCUCGGAUGGAAGCUAAACUACAAGCUGAAAGAACUUAAAUGCAGAGGCCUAAAUGCAGGCUCAAAUGCAAGCUUAGAUUCAUGCUCAAAUGCAAGUUCAGAUUGCAAGUUUGAUGGAUCACUUGCGUCGCAAACGGCAUGCUAUCCACUCCAAGUACUCAAGCUGAAAAUUCUGCUAAUUCAAAUGAUGAAAAUUUAGGAGAUGAUUAGAUUAUGUUUAUUAAUAUAUUUGGUAUUGUUUCUAACGAUGUAACAUUAUACUGCUAUACUUUUGUUAUUGUAAUUGAGUUUGAAUGCUUUAAUAUAAUAUAUUUUACAAUUAUAUUA